UGCUGCCUUGAAACACUUGAG
ensembl:piRNA 21ur-242 ncRNA